rnacentral:piRNA from 1 species
UCCAAAUGUUAAAAUCUUGCUUUUUUCCUCC